AACGAACGCUGGCGGCAGGCUUAACACAUGCAAGUCGAACGCACCUUUCGGGGUGAGUGGCAGACGGGUGAGUAACGCGUGGGAAUCUACCCUUCUCUACGGGAUAGCUCCGGGAAACUGGAAUUAAUACCGUAUACGUCCUGAGGGAGAAAGAUUUAUCGGGGAAGGAUGAGCCCGCGUUGGAUUAGCUAGUUGGUGGGGUAAAGGCCUACCAAGGCGACGAUCCAUAGCUGGUCUAAGAGGAUGAUCAGCCACAUUGGGACUGAGACACGGCCCAAACUCCUACGGGAGGCAGCAGUGGGGAAUAUUGGACAAUGGGCGCAAGCCUGAUCCAGCCAUGCCGCGUGAGUGAUGAAGGCCCUAGGGUUGUAAAGCUCUUUCAGUGGGGACGAUAAUGACGGUACCCACAGAAGAAGCCCCGGCUAACUUCGUGCCAGCAGCCGCCGUAAUAC
rnacentral:rRNA from 1 species